CCUACGGGCGGCAGCAGUGAGGAAUAUUGGUCAAUGGACGAGAGUCUGAACCAGCCAAGUAGCGUGAAGGAUGACUGCCCUAUGGGUUGUAAACUUCUUUUAUAAAGGAAUAAAACGCGGCACGUGUGCCUUUUUCCAUGUACUUUAUGAAUAAGGAUCGGCUAACUCCGUGCCAGCAGCCGCGGUAAUACGGAGGUUCCGAGCGUUAUCCGGAUUUAUUGGGUUUUAAGGGUGCGUAGGCUGUGAGGUAAGUCAGCGGGGAAAUGCCCCCGCUCAACGGGGUGAAGUGCCAUUGAUACUGUCUGGCUGGAAUGCGGGUGCCGUGGGAGGAAUGUGUGGUGUAGCGGGGAAAUGCAUAGAUAUCACACAGAACACCGAUUGCGAAGGCAGCUCACGAAGCCGCGAUUGACGCUGAUGCACGAAAGCGUGGGUAUCAAACAGGAUUAGAUACCCUUGUAGUC
rnacentral:rRNA from 1 species